rfam:Oryza rufipogon genomic scaffold, chr07
AAAAAAACAAACCCUGAUUUUCGUGUCCAACAUUUGACCGUCCGUCGUAUUUAAAAAAAUUAUAAAAAAAAUUAAAAAGAUAAGUCACGCAUAAAAUAUUAAUAAUGUUUUAUCAUCUAACAACAAUAAAAAUACAAAUUAUAAAAAAAUUUCAUAUAAGACCGACCGUCAAAGUUAGACACAGAAACUCAGGGUUUGUCUUUUU